UGGGUGACAUUCGGACCAACCCGAUAGCUGAUUUUAGCAGCAGACGACCACAUCGCAAGAAGGCUACAAGCCGACACAGAACCGACCACCAAUUAACCAUCACUGGAACAUACCCUAUAUCCCCAUCACAUCACAUCACAAAACAACUAUAGUUGUUGAUUCAGCUUGCCGCCGCCGGAGUCGAGAAUUAUAGAUUCCAUGUACCGAUCAAGAAAGUGGGACUGAUGAGAGAACCAUCUCCGAAGCUAGGUUAAGGACCAAGAAGAAGCAACCACGAAGCUCUAGCCGGCGGAGGUCUACUAGAAAGAAACCAGCUCUAGGGUGUGUUUAGUGAAACGCGUCGCCAUAGGAAAGAGACUUAAUGACCAGUCGAGAAGCAAACCCCCUCCCCCACGUGCUCCACUGCAAAGGACCAUAGGAGGAUGCUUCCUACCGCACAUCGCAAGCGCCAUCACUAGUCACGACAGCGCAAUUGGAUUGAGGAAACCCUUGAAGCCAAUCCCUGGCGCUGAAAAUCUAAAAUGUUUCUCCUUGGAAAAGAGAAACACUAAAAUAGGACCACCGCUUCUCACCUCCAUGAAGCGCGUGAACAACAGAUCUGGAGAAGAGGCCGACGAGAAAACGUCACGAGCCGCUACCACCUACAAGAUAAGCAAAUAGGAAGGGGAAAACCUCUCAACCCAUAAGCAGCAAGCCUUAAACGCCGACUCUCGACCAUGAGACCACCCCCACACACAUCGCCGGCAAUCCAAAGACUUUGAUCGACCUCUCAUAUCCAGACUCUCCGCGGUCAGAUCUUUAGCAAAAAAGAGCUGAAGAACCAGAGAUUGAGCAUGUCAGGAAGGGGGUGAGAAACGUAGAAGAGAGAAAAGGAAAGAACGGAGGAGAGGAAGAUCUCCAGCACUGGAAAGACUAAUGCGGGAGAAAUACAAUGGAGAGAGAGAGAGAGAGAGAGAGAUGAUUUGGAGUUUCAAUUUCAAACCUUGUUCUAUUAUGCUAUUAUUAUUCCAAUCCUUUGUCCCAAAACUGUUUUGUGAG
rnacentral:lncRNA from 1 species